UUCUAGCCCCAGGCGCGGCGGCAUCCCUGAAGCGCAGCGUAAGGAUACAGCGAAGCGUGGGAACCAAC
rnacentral:sRNA from 1 species